rnacentral:tRNA from 1 species
GCGUGGUAGCUCAGCUGGUUAGAGCACAGCACUCAUAAUGCUGGGGUCGGUGGUUCAAGUCCANNAUCUUGACGAUCCGGGCGCCA